CACGAUAACGGCAAACCUGUCUAAAGACAGGGACGCAAAGCUAAAGGGCCUUACCCGCAGGGGUUGGCAGCCAGCUACCGAAC
rnacentral:ncRNA from 1 species